UCGGCUUGAAGGAAUGUGAACUUAGGCUGAGUUGGCAGCACAGAGAUUUUCAAGUGUGACAUCACCUCCCAGUCGGGAAAGCUGAUGAAGUCUGAUCCCAGCCUGAAAGUUGUGACUUCCCCUGGCUCUCUGGAAUUCUGGGUGUUCCUGGAUUUGCCGGAGAUAUUCUGUUGCUCUCAGCAGUGUGAGUCUUGGAGCUCCAUUUUCCCUUCUCACCUUACUGCCGCAUGAGAAUUCACAGGCCACUGGCAGGAUGGGAGCCUUCUAGCCAGCCUCCGGAUUGCAGAAAGUAUAAAAAUACAGCUUCAAGACACGUGCCCUAGACUCUGCUCUCAGACUGCCAACCAUAAGCUCCCACCGGUUCCUUGGACUUUGCACAGGUUCUCUUAUUCAACGCUUGCAAUAACUAUAUGAACAGGAAACAACAAAGGAGCUGAGCUCUGUGACCAGUUUUGAUACCAGCUGAAACCGAAACAUGAGCAGAUACGCAAGAGCAAAGAAUCAGAAGAUGCCAGAAGUGAGGUGAGGAAAGUUUGGGAGUGAACUGACUGGCCAGUGUUCUGGGGCUAGUAAUGGAUGAGCUGAUCGAGAUGGGAACCUCAUUCUUCUGACUCCAACCUCACAGUGUGUGGGCUUGAGCUCCGAGCCCACAGGAAGCGCCGGCUCCCACUAAGCCGCCCAUUAGGCCAUGAAGUACUAAAUGAAGAUACUAUCUGCUGCCUGGAUUUGUCUUGUGAGACACGAGUGUUUCCAGAACCUGGGAGAAGCACACAGUGCCCUGUUGGAGAACCUAACGGCAAGGUGGUUAAGGCAGAGUGUGGGACAGCUGAAGGCAGAUGACUCAGGACCUCUGCACGCAGAGCAAGGAGGCGUCUGUGAGAGGGAGACAAGGCUUACGAAGGGCCUGAUGGAGACUUUGGGAGGAAGAACUAAUGGUGGACCUGGACUUAGGUCUUUGGUUUUUCAGUGAUGAAGGAAGCUGAGAAGAAGACAUUUCAGACUGAGCCCCCGAAACACAGAAAUAAGAAGAAUAACUCUUAAGACGGUAUUUAGGUACCGCUCUUAAGAAGCUACUCAGUAACCACACAAUAGGUGGUAAGAACAGCAGGAUUUCCAGUGACCCUGGGCCGCUGUCGGGCUUCUCCACCUGGGACCUGCAGACUCACCCUCAGGCAUCCGUGAGUGCUCUUGCAUGGUGAUGAAGAAUACAGGGGCUACUAGUUCUAUUUGGUGCCACUGCCUUGAUUUGUGUGAAAGUGACAGCAGUUCUACCCACCAUUUCUUUUGCACCAUCAAUACAAGUGUUAACCCAGUGAAAAAGAUAAUGUCUUAGUAUUAUGAUGAUGAUGAUGAUGAUGAUGAAGAAGAAGAAGAAGGAGGAGGAGGAGGAGGAGAAAGAAGAAGAGAAGAAGAAGAAAAUAUUUUUGAACGCAGAACCCCUGAAAGCUUCUCCAGGAUUACUGAGGGGUCUCAUGGACCAAAUUUAGAACCACUGAACUAGGGAGGGCCCUGCUGACAUAGCUGCACUUUAAGCUUCUAGAAAGUAUUAGAUUAAGGGCCUCUUAAGAUUUUUUUCUCAGCGAGCCCAGAUUCUAACAACUUCUAACAACUUGAUAAGAAAAGCCUCUUAGGCCAAAGCUGGGAAGUUCUGAUCUCUCCUGAGAGAAGCUAACCCUUUGAACUCACACAGUGGAGUAUGCUUCUGGAGGCCAUUGCGGUCACUGGGAUGAGCCUUCAGGCCUGCACUUGGGAUUGUUUUCCAGCAUCCUCUUUACUUCGAGUGUAAAAUGGCUCUGGGGAUAAGAAAAGCUCCCCCGUUAGUGUUUCCCUUUCCUUAAGAUGGAAAGAUUGGCCGGAUUCAACAUGAGUGUUGAAUCCAAGGUAGAGCCAGAUUCUUAGAAUUGGGGGAGCUUUCUCUGCGAAUCCCUGAGACAUUUGUGUGAAUAACCAACCUAAGGGCAGGAAAAACCUUUGAAAGGAACAAUUAAAGUCUGUUUGCAUAAGCUUUCCUGGAGCCUGAGGGUAAAAGGUGCCCCUCCCUCCUCCCUACCUCAGGAAAGGAGACUGAGCAGAGAAAUGAUUUAUUGGGAAGGAAUGUGCAAAUAAAAAGAUGACACUUGUGUUCUUUUCAAGAUUUAGUGAUUUCUCUAGAAACAUGUUAUAGACUGACUUGUGUCCCCCCCAAAUUUCUAAAGUGAAGCUCUAAUCCCUAAUGUGACUGUAUUUGGAGAUAGAACCCAUUAGGAGUUAAUUAAGGUUACCUGAGGUCAUAGGGUGGGGCCCUGAUACUAUAGGAUUGGUAUAGUUAUAAGAGAAACAUGAGGUCCACCGUGUGAUCUAGCCAAGAAGAGGGUCUCACCUGAACCCGACCUUGCUGGCACCGUGAUCUCAGACUUCCAACUUCCAAAACUGCUCCGUGAGAGGAGGGGCACAACUGCUCACUAUCGUAUCCCGGGACCCUUAACCCAGUGCCUGGCACAUAAAGAGGUUCUCAUGGAACAUUCUUUGGAUGAAUUUCAGAGAGGUAGACACUGAGUGGAGAACACAUACAACUAUGAAUUGGAGUUGUUGUUUUUUAAAAAGGACGACCUUGGACUUAAUUCAGCCAAUAGAAUGCAGCAGACACGUCAGUGUGCCAAUUUCAAGCCUAGGCCUCAAGAGGCCUUGAAUGCUUCUGCUUUCUAUCCCUUGGAGUUUUGUCCAGCCACCAGGUGAACAAACCCAGGCCAGACUGUUGGGGAAAGAGAGACCACACCGAACAGAGUUGAGCUGUGUCAGCUGAGGGCACCCUACACCAGCCAGCCCCCAGCUAUCCCAGCAGUGGACUGCUGACAAUGACUGAGCCAGAGGAAAUCAGAACCGCCUAGCUGGGUCCAGCCAAAGUUGCCAACCUGGAGACCUGUGAGCUAAAUAAAUACUUGUUCUAACAGCAAAA